rnacentral:lncRNA from 1 species
AUAAUGUCUAUAUUGGUAAUUUAUAAUUGAUAUAUUUUAAUGUAAUUUUUAUAUUUUAAUAUACUUCAUUAUAUAUUUUACAUAUUUUUAUAAUCUUUGCAUUUUGAGAUUUAUACCCAAAUCAGAAACGUCCAUGGCAACUUCAUUUUUUUCAUAAAAUAAUUGUCUUGAUGAUGACUCCAAAGGAUUUUAGAGAUGGAAAAAUAAUAGGAAGAUCUUUGUGUGGAUAGGAAUAUUUUAUAUACAAAGUAGAAAUGACUAGUGCCUCAACUCUUGCCUAGUUUUGGAACUGAGGAAAAUGAAGUUUUUGUUUUUACCUCUUGAAGAUAAUACAAAUCAAUUUGAAUGGGAUUUUGGAUUUUUGCAAGUCAAAAUAUUCUUCUACGUGUUGAUUAAUUUGUGUGGUGAGAUGCUAAUGCUGGUAUAACAAAAAUAGUUUUUAUGAUAAGAAGUUAGAGAUACAGCUUUACUGAUAAAUCAGAACAUAGUCUUAUCUCAAUAGUUGCUGAUUCAAUAUGACUUAUUACCUGUCGAUUUAUACAUCCCAUCUGAAUCCCAGGACAGACAGGUGAAAACCCAGAAAUGUUACCUAUUCAGGUGAUGGAAGCCUCAAGCUGUGCCUAUCAAUAUCCUGACAUAGGUGGUUCUGUUGUUUGCUUCAUUGCUAAGGCCGAAGGUGCUGACACAAAUAUGGAGCCAGUGAGUCCAGGAAGUGCCGUUCUGUGCAUAGUGAUGUCUGCAAAUGGCAAAUGGAGACAGGCCUCACCAGUCUCAAGGGUCUGAUUACCAUUGUGAGUCCACGCUUCUCCUGGAUCGUAUCUACUGCAGCAAAAUCUGGUCAUCCACUGAGCCAGGCCAUUAUGCCUUGG